GAUGAAGAACGCAGCGAAAUGCGAUACGUAAUGUGAAUUGCAGAAUUCAGUGAAUCAUCGAGUCUUUGAGCGCACAUUGCGCCCCCUGGUAUUCCGGGGGGCAUGCCUGUCCGAGCGUCAUUGCUGCCCUCAAGCACGGCUUGUGUGUUGGGCCUCCGUCCUCCUCCCGGGGGACGGGCCCGAAAGGCAGCGGCGGCACCGCGUCCGGUCCUCGAGCGUAUGGGGCUUCGUCACCCGCUCUUGUAGGCCCGGCCGGCGCUUGCCGACACAUCAAUCUUUUUUCCAGGUUGACCUCGGAUCAGGUAGGGAUACCCGCUGAACUUAAGCAUAUCAAUAAGCGGAGGA
rnacentral:misc_RNA from 1 species